GCUCGGAUAGCUCAGUUGGUUAGAGUGCUGCCCUCACAUGGCAGAGGUCCAGGGUUCGAGCCCCUGUCCGAGUA
rnacentral:tRNA from 1 species